UACGGAGGAGGCAAGCGUUAUCCGGAAUUAUUGGGCGUAAAGCGUCCGCAGGUGGCGAUUCAAGUCUGCGGUCAAAGACUGGGGCUUAACCCUGGAAAGGCCGUGGAAACUGAAUAGCUAGAGUGCAGUAGGGGUAGAGGGAAUUCCCGGUGUAGCGGUGAAAUGCGUAGAGCUCGGGAAGAACAUCGGUGGCGAAAGCGCUCUGCUGGACUGCAACUGACACUCAGGGACGAAAGCUAGGGGAGCGAAUGGG
rnacentral:rRNA from 1 species